rnacentral:piRNA from 1 species
UGACAUGGGUGAAUGGUCAAUGUCUUGCCUU